GCGGGAUUAGCAUAAUGGUAGUGCAUCUGGUUGCCAAUCAGAGUACACGGGUUCGAUUCCCGUAUCCCGCU
rnacentral:tRNA from 1 species